rnacentral:rRNA from 1 species
AAUCAACGCUGGCGGCGUGCCUCAGACAUGCAAGUCGAACGAUUAAAGCUCUCUUCGGAGAGUGUAUAGAGUGGCGCACGGGUGAGUAACACGUAAGUAAUCUACCCUCGAGUGGGGAAUAACAACCGGAAACGGUUGCUAAUACCGCAUAAUGCAGCGGCACCGCAAGGUGACAGUUGUUAAAGAUUUAUCGCUUGAGGAGGAGCUUGCGGCAGAUUAGCUAGUUGGUAGGGUAACGGCUUACCAAGGCUACGAUCUGUAACCGGUCUAAGAGGACGGUCGGUCACACUGACACUGAAUAACGGGUCAGACUCCUACGGGAGGCAACAGUCGGGAAUUUUGGGCAAUGGGCGAAAGCCUGACCCAGCAACGCCGCGUGAAGGAUGAAGUAUUUCGGUAUGUAAACUCCGAAAGAAUAGGAAGAAUUAAUGACGGUACUAUUUAUAAGGUCCGGCUAACUACGUGCCAGCAGCCGCGGUAAAGUCUGUACU